AGUAUCUGAGAAAGGUUUGAGGAAUAAGUAGAUAUGCGCGGAGUAUAGCUAUGUAUUAUACUAAACAAGUUAUACAGUGUCAAACUUUGUGAUAAAUCUGACAAUUCUUCUUUCAUUAUGGUAACCGCAAAGCAUAACAACCCUCUACAUUCGUUUCAAGAUGGGAGCCCUUUACGCCAAAGUUAAACAUAUAUAGCAAAUACUUUAGAAAGCUUGCGGUAAGUAGAAUACAUAUAUAGGCGGGGAGAUACUGUAACUUCUGUCUAUUCUAUUUUUGAAAAUUAAAAAGAACCUAGUCCGUCUUUGCUAUCAUAGUUUGCACGCUCCGUUGAACAGAAGGCUGGAUGAUAUACAAGCCCCGUCUUUGUCCAAACACUGUAGGCCUGAGUUCUUUAUUGUCAGUACACAGCAACAGCUGUCAACAACAAAUAAGCCACCAACAAGGCUCAGUAAUAACACCUGAGUAGCAUUUGUUUUGCAGAAUCGCUUGGGAGUGUUUGUGACUUGAAUAUGGCGACACACGGAAGUGGAGAAAAGAUGGUGGGAAGUUCCUUAUCUGAGGUGACAACGAAACCAAAAUAUAGUGAUCCCUGGUGGAUG
rnacentral:misc_RNA from 1 species